GUGUCAGCAGCCGCGGUAAUACGGAGGGCGCAAGCGUUGUUCGGAAUUACUGGGCGUAAAGCGCGUGUAGGUGGCUUGGAAAGUCGGGUGUGAAAUCCCGGAGCUCAACUCCGGAACUGCAUCCGAUACUGCCAAGCUCGAGUCUCGGAGAGGAUGGCGGAAUUUCCGGUGUAGAGGUGAAAUUCGUAGAUAUCGGAAGGAACACCAGUGGCGAAGGCGGCCGUCUGGACGAUGACUGACACUGAGACGCGAAAGCGUGGGGAGCAAACAGGAUUAGAUACCCCCGUAGUCC
rnacentral:rRNA from 1 species